AAAUUGAAGAGUUUGAUCAUGGCUCAGAUUGAACGCUGGCGGCAGGCCUAACACAUGCAAGUCGAACGGUAACAGGAAUCAGCUUGCUGAUUCGCUGACGAGUGGCGGACGGGUGAGUAAUGUCUGGGAAACUGCCUGAUGGAGGGGGAUAACUACUGGAAACGGUAGCUAAUACCGCAUAAUGUCGCAAGACCAAAGAGGGGGACCUUCGGGCCUCUUGCC
rnacentral:rRNA from 1 species